rnacentral:lncRNA from 1 species
UUAACUCGGUGUCUGAGGGUUUUUUUCUGAGGCUCUUCAUGCUACAUUUCUUGGUUCUCUGACUGGGAAGUGAGGUGAUUGGCGGAUGGUUAAGGCAGCUCCUUAGGUGGCUUAAGCUUGCCCUGUGGAACAACCCUGAGGGGGACUCUGACCAGCCCGAGCAAUGUGGAUCCUGAGAGGACUCCCGGGUAGGCAUUUGCCCUGGUGGGAUGCCUCGCCAGAGCAGUGUGUGGCAGGCCCCCGUGGAGGAUCAACACAGUGGCUGAACACCAGGAAGGAACUGGCACUUGGAGUCCGGACAUCUAAAACGUGUGAUUCUCCAAGGGCAAAUGAAUUUUGACCAGGAAGACAGUGAAGAAAUUUCAUAAAAGUGAAAUACUAAUUGGAAGCUCCUAUCGGCAUUGGUUGAUCUGACAAGUUGUGUGUAUAGAAACUAGCCUAUAUGGAGACACGAAUGUCAAAAGAAGUUUUACCGAUGAUAGAAAUAUGAGAGGAUCAUUAUGUAUUCUUCAAGAAAAAGAAAUAUGGCAAAGGAUAGUAAAGGUAAUACUGCCAAAAAUAUCCAGAUUGUAUUGAAGAAAAUUGUGAAAAAAAGGACCAGAGUCAAAGUUAUUUUUCUAGGAGGAGAAGAACACAUUGCAGAACAGAAGAUGGCAAAUAAAUGCUUUUCCAUGAAAGAGGCACAGAUUGCUUCUACUUACCAAAGCAAGUCACAUGGCCAUGCCUCACCAAGGAGUUAAGAAAGCAGAGUCCUCCCAAGGAAGCAUGUGUCCAGGAAAGAACUGUAUAUUGUUGACUAGCAACAAUGUCUGACACCUUGACUUAAACUUUACGUUACAAAUUUCUGAUCACAUUAGCUAUAACCUUUUGAA